rnacentral:rRNA from 1 species
CGAACGCUGGCGGCGUGCUUAACACAUGCAAGUCGAACGGCAAGGCCCUGCUUUUGUGGGGUGCUCUAGUGGCGAACGGGUGAGUAACACGUGAGUAACCUGCCCUUGACUUUGGGAUAACUUCAGGAAACUGGGGCUAAUACCGGAUAGGAGCUCCUGCUGCAUGGUGGGGGGUGGAAAGUUUCGGCGGUUGGGGAUGGACUCGCGGCUUAUCAGCUUGUUGGUGGGGUAGUGGCUUACCAAGGCUUUGACGGGUAGCCGGCCUGAGAGGGUGACCGGCCACAUUGGGACUGAGAUACGGCCCAGACUCCUACGGGAGGCAGCAGUGGGGAAUAUUGCACAAUGGGCGGAAGCCUGAUGCAGCAACGCCGCGUGCGGGAUGACGGCCUUCGGGUUGUAAACCGCUUUCGCCUGUGACGAAGCGUGAGUGACGGUAAUGGGUAAAGAAGCACCGGCUAACUACGUG